GAGUCUAGCAUGUGCGCGAGUCAUUGGGACUCUAACGAAACCUAAAGGCGCAAUGAAAGUGAAGGUCCGCCUAGCGCGGACCGAGGGAGGAUGGGUGGUCCCGCGGGACCGCCCCGCACUCCCGGGGCGUCUCGUUCUCAUCGCGAGAAGAGGCGCACCCAGAGCGUACACGCUGGGACCCGAAAGAUGGUGAACUAUGCCUGGUCAGGACGAAGUCAGGGGAAACCCUGAUGGAGGUCCGUAGCGAUUCUGACGUGCAAAUCGAUCGUCGGAACUGGGUAUAGGGGCGAAAGACUAAUCGAACCAUCUAGUAGCUGGUUCCCUCCGAAGUUUCCCUCAGGAUAGCUGGCGCUCGCUUCUCGCGAGUCUCAUUCGGUAAAGCGAAUGAUUAGAGGCAUUGGGGUCGAAACGGCCUCAACCUAUUCUCAAACUUUAAAUGGGUGAGAUCUCCGGCUUGCUUGAACUGUGAAGCCGCGAGAUAUCGGAUCAGAGUGCCAAGUGGGCCACUUUUGGUAAGCAGAACUGGCGCUGUGGGAUGAACCAAACGCCGAGUUAAAGCGCCUAAAUCGACGCUUAUGGGAUACCAUGAAAGGCGUUGGUAACUUAAGACAGCAGGACGGUGGCCAUGGAAGUCGGA
rnacentral:rRNA from 1 species